CUCAUUUACAGUCUGGUGCUCUGAAUUCAACCAGCAAAAAUCCCCUUUCCUUUCCUUAUCAUACCUGUACAACCUGGCUGACAGUCACAUAGGAGAAGCCCUGCUGAGUUUGCAAGAGUGAAUGCACUGCUGUCAGUUGCAGGAGGGGCUUUGUCCACAGUGGGACGAGGUCCCACCUGAUCCUGCUCCCACACCACUAAGCAUCUGCUCUGGAGCAAGGUGUUUGACUGGGGAGGAGGUCAGGUUGACAUAUCAGGAGUGCUUGAUUUCCAGCCCUGGCUUUCCCAGUGAGCCUGCACAGAAGGCUGUUCGCCCAUGAAAUCUGAUGAUCUACACAAAGACAAGAACAGAGAGGUGAACAAGAGCAUGGAGUCUGUAGGCACUGGCAUAAUGGCAUAGAAAUUCAACUUGGUGCUUGAAAAAUGGCUUUUCUUCUUCCCUUUUUCUUUUAGAAAUGUGGCACCCCACUGGCAAGGCUCUCUGGGAUUCAGUAUAAGGGCUGCAGACAAACAGGAAUGAAGGAAUAAAGAGGAACACUCAGAGGGGUGAGGACGGAGGGAGGCUUGGAUGCAGAGGAGGAGACUGAGCAUGGACAGUGAGAAGCCUUUCCCAGGAUGACUCCCACUCUGGAGAGGACAGCUGAGUGCCUACCAUCGGGGCUGUACUGGAGAGACACCAGUUUGAAGAGUGUACAUCAGAAAACGAUCACAGCCCGUUCACAUGGUGUCUGCUGGGCCUAUUGUCAGCUAAUCGAGACCAGCCUUGCUCCACCCAAGUCAGUGUGGCAUCCAGGGAGGCUGGUGAGGAAUAAGCUGAAGCGUGAGUGUGAAGGGCACUGUCAGUUCUGCAGAAAUGGCUCUUAUUUCACAGGGCUAACGUCACAUCCAGAGUGCUCACAGCAGUCUUUGUGCAGGUAUCCUCUGGGGAGUGAGUGAGAAGCAGCUAUUCUGAGCUAUCCCCUUAUUUAGGAUUGCUGGCGUGCUGUUGUGAUCGUUUUGCUGAGCUAUGGGAGCUGCUGGGCAGAGCUGGAGCGUCUCCAAUCGAGAUGAAUUAUCGAGCAAGCUGAAAUUGGGGAAUCUGUGCUCGAGAUUUCUCUGCUGAAGCCCUCAGAGUCACCUGCUUUGCUCUGCCAGGUGCUGGAAUCAUUUCUGCCUCAUUCUCUAUUGUGAAGGAAUAAAGCCUUCAGGUUUUCAUUCUGGAAAAAUGCC
rnacentral:lncRNA from 1 species